rnacentral:rRNA from 1 species
UACGAAGGGAGCUAGCGUUGUUCGAAAUCACUGGGCGUAAAGCGCACGUAGGCGGAUGUGUCAGUCAGGGGUGAAAUCCCGGAGCUCAACUUCGGAACUGCCUUUGAUACAGCACGUCUUGAGUCCGGAAGAGGUGGGUGGAAUUCCUAGUGUAGAGGUGAAAUUCGUAGAUAUUAGGAAGAACACCGGUGGCGAAGGCGGCCCACUGGUCCGGUACUGACGCUGAGGUGCGAAAGCGUGGGGAGCAAACAGG